GAUUCGUCGCACCGCCGCCGCGUCCGAGAGCGCCGUCGAGAGCGCCACCCUCGUCGCAUCGCCGCCGUGUUCGAGAGCGCCGCCCUCGUCGCGUCGCCGCCACAUCCGACAACGCCGUUGACAGCGCCGCCCUCAUCGCGUCGCCGCUGCGUCCGAGAGCGCCGUCGACAGUGCCGCGUCCGCGCUCUCGCCACGCCGUCGACAGCACCGCCUCCACGUGCUCCAGGCACGCCACCAGCCGCACCAUACCAGGCGCCGGCGGCACGGCACAAGAGCCGUGCCAGGCGCAGACGGCACGUCCCAGGCGCCAGCGGCACGGCCGUCAACAUCCUUCACUCAUCUGCUGCAGCAGCUCCACGAAGAGUGGCGCCAUCCCAACCCCGCCAUUGCCGAGUAGAGCAGCACGGCGUCCAGACCGCUAGCUGUUCAUCUGCUACAGCAAGAUGGAUCGUAGUUGGGUGCAUGGCACAUUGUUUUCCACUGAACACAUUGAUGGUGUCAAACAAUUCAUGAGCUUCAUUGAAGGAAAAUUCAGUGAGAAUGUUGAAAUUUCGUGCCCUUGUGGUAGAUGCCUUAAUCAGAAGUACCUUUGUCAGCCUGUUGUGAGGAAGCACAUUUUGAUGAAUGGCAUGGACAGUACUUAUACUGGGUGGAUUCAUCAUGGAGAGAGCAUCGGUGUAGAGCUUUUCAGCAUCCUGUUGGUUUGCAUGACUCUAGUGAUGGUUGCAGACAUGAAAAAGAUGACAAUGCAGAUUGUUUGGAAGGGCUUAUAGGAGACCUACACACUGCAGCAGAACAAGAAGGGCAGGAUGGAGAAAAUCAGAAUGGAGAAGAUCAGGAUGGUGAUGUAGAACCUCAUGAGGAGUCUUUCUUUAAAAUAGUGAUGAAAGAGGCAAAGUGUCAGCUGUAUCCUAGUUGUACUAAAAUUUCAAGGUUCUCUUUUGUGGUAAAACUUCUUCAUAUGAAGUCAUUAUACGGGAUAAGCAAUUCUGUCUUUACUGCAAUAUUGAAGCUAUUGUCUGAAGCAUUCCCUGAUUGCAAUACACUCCCCAAAUCCUAUAAUGAGGCAAAGAAUCUUUUAAAGGAAUUAGGUCUUGGAUAUGAAUCAAUACAUGUGCUCUUCAGAAAGGGAUAUGCCAAGCAUGACAAUUGCCCUGUUUGUGGUCUAUCAAGAUGGAAAGAUCCUGAAAGAAAGAAAAUUCCACAGAAAGUGUUGAGGCAUUUUCCAUUGGCCCCUAGGCUAAAGAGGAUGUUUGCGACGAAAGAAGCUUCGGAAAACGUGCAAUGACACAAGUUAAAGCGGCAGCCUAGUGAGAAGGAAAUGAGCCACCCUGGUGAGGCAUGGCAAGAUUUUGACAAGGAAUAUCCAGAUUUUGCAGAAGAUCCAAGAAACCUUAGGCUUGGCCUUGCAGCUGGUGGGUUCAAUCCUUUUUCAGAAAAGAACACAAGAUACAGCAUGUGGCCUGUGUUUGUUGUGCCUUACAACCUUCCACCUUGGGCAUGCAUGGAGGAGUCAAACUUCAUGAUGGCUUUGCUUAUUCCAAGUCCUACAUGCCCCGGGAAGGAUUUUGAUGUGUUUUUAGAGCCUCUUAUGGAAGAUUUGCUUGACCUUUGGGCAGGUGUGCGUACCUAUGAUGCUAAUACUGGCAAAUUAUUUAAGCUUCGUUUUGCAGUUUUAUGGUGCAUCCAUGAUUACCCAGCUUUGAGUACUCUUUCUGGGCGAACAACAAAAGGCUACUUUGCUUGUACUCAUUGUGACAAACACCCUCUUUCGUACGGCCUAAGGAGCAAAAUUGGGUAUUUUGGACACUUUCGUUUCCUUCCCAAGGGGAAUCGUUUGUGAAGAAACAAUGAAUUUGCCGGCCUUCAUGAAAGCAAUGAUCCACCGGGUAAAUUCUCUAUAGAAGAGCUGCUAGCCGAAUUGGAGAAAGUUAAAGAUGUUAGACCCGGCAAGGCACAAAUAUGUGGGAAAAUGAAGCAUUCUGACAAGGAAGGAGGUCAUGUGCUAAUUUGGUCCCGGAUGGUUAGUUUAUGGAAGUUGCCAUAUUGGAGUAAAUUGAAGCUAAGACAUAAUCUCGAUGUCAUGCACAUUGAGAAAAACAUAUAUGAGAGUGAUAGGAAUAAUCCUCAAUAUAAUUGGCAAGACUAAGGACACACUUAAAGCUAGGCUUGAUUUAAAAGAUUUGGGAAUCAAAGAGGAGCUACAAUUAAGAGAGGAUGGAGCUUCAUGUGUGAUGCCUCAUGCUCGAUGUACCUUGUCCGUAGGAAAAAAGAAGGCCUUCUGUGAUUUUAUAUGUGAGGUGAAGUUUCCAGAUGGAUUUGCUUCCAACAUCUCAAGGUGUGUAAAUGCUGAGGGAACCAAGGUACAAGGGCUAAAAACACAUGAUUGUCAUAUUCUUUUGCAAAGAAUAUUACCAGCUGCAAUGAGAGGACUUUUGGACAAUGAUAUUUAUGAAGCAAUAGCCGAACCUGCUGGCAACAACUAGAUGACCAAUGGAGGAGGAGAGGUGACAUGGAACCGAGGAAUUAAUAUGGGGCAUGGUCUUGAAAGAAUUAACCGAUGUCGCCGUGGCAAGCUACCAGUUGUUAUACCUGAAGGGUAUAUCAGGCCUGUAGUGCCUAUGAUUGCCGCGAAGUAUGCAACUGAAUGUAACAUUGCUGUCAGGAACCAUGUUCUUGUGCUCAAGCACUGGAGGGAAUACAAUGAAAACCCAGCUGUGAUUGACCUUUUCUUGGGAACACUUCGUGCAAAGUUCGACAUAGACACAAAUGAUGCUGUAGUUAGAAUGGGUUGCAUUGAAAUGAUGAAGUCUGCUGUUCGCCAAUGGAGACACAAGCUGAAGCAAGUACAUUUUGAUCCUUUUCCGCUGCAUUUGGUUAGGAAAACUUCACCUGUGAAAUCAACAAGUGAUGCUUAGUGGAAUGAACUUGUAGAAUCAUGGAAGACUCCCCAUAAAAUGGAGGUAUGCGAACAGAACAAAGACAACCGAGGCAAGGUCAAGUACCAUCAAACAACAGGCUCACGUAGCUACCCGGUUUUUGUAGAAAAUUUGGGAGAUGAGUACAAGGAUAAUGAACCUGAUGCGUUUGAGCUGUUCAAAAUGUGCCACUACAGCAAACGAAGAAAAGGAUUCGCACCUGAUAUUCAAUUGGCUAUUAAUGAAAUGGAAAAUCAGAUGGCUGCAGAACUGGCAGAAGGUGAAGAACCCAAGUCAAAGGCCCAGUUUGUAGCUGAUGUGCUUGAGCACAACACAAAAAAGAAUCUGUUCCUUCUGAAUGUCGGGAUCCAGAAUGUGCGAUCACGAAGGCUCAGUGCACGUGAUGCAGCAGCCCAACUGGAAGCGGAGAAGAUGUAGAAUGCAGAGCUCCAAUCAAUUAUCAGCAACCAAUCAAAGCAAUUGGAGGAAAUUGAACAGGCAAGGGUAAGGGACAAAGAAGAGAGGAUAAGGGACAAAGAUGAGAUGAGCUAGAAGUAUGCUGGCCCUAGCCGAACAAAUGAACUGGCUGCUUUUGAAGCACCUUACACCAUGAAGGCAUACGGUGACCCACCUUUUACUCCGCCGAUGCCAUCUGAUGUGCUUAAUGACCUAUCGAGGCGUGUGUUGACACAAAAAUCAACACACUGGAAUCCGAGGGCAAGUGUUCGCCAAGCUCCGGAAAGUCAACCAAGUGUGCCAGUCAAUUUGACCUGUAAUUGACAAAGGAUAAACAAAGUAAAAUCCGAGAGCGUAUCGGCUGGAAUUCCAAAUGUCUCUCAGGUGGCGUAUCGGCAAGGCUUUGCCGAUACAGAAAGCGAUAACAGAUCAGGUAAGAUAAAUGUGUAUUAAAAGCGAUCUAAAGGAGAUCGGCAAGAGGCUGCCGAUAUCGGUAUGCAACAGACGGCUUUGAUCUAAACCGACACGUGCCUGAAAAUAAUGCACAAACCCACGAAUGUAUGGAUCUGAACAAAGCUGAGCUUACAACCAAUCUAACCGGCUUUGCAAGAUUUAAUGUGAAAACAAGAGAACUAACAGCCGAUUAAAU